rnacentral:lncRNA from 1 species
UGUUAAGAAUUAUUAAAUCUGUGAAAUGUUUCUAUUUUAAUUAAUUGCCUUUUAACUGAUUUUUAAAAUCAGUUAAAAAUAGUUUUUUUUUCUCAAAAUUAUACAAAUAUAUUACAAAACAGAAAGAAUUUGGGAUUUUUGUUUUCUUGUGAUUGACUUUUGGGAAAUAUUGUAUCACAAUCCAAGAUAGAGCAGUUAUUUUAAAACUCACAACAGAUUCCCCCCCUGGUGAACAUAUGGUAUGUUUGCCAAAAGGAGCACUUCUUUCUGAAACUUCAGAUUUCACUUACUUUGAUUUAGACAGGAAUUGUGAUGUUAAAUUAUUAUUUUUGAAAUAUCAAUACACAUUUUCCCUCUAGUUGUUCCAAAGGGAUGGCUUGAUAUACAGCGUUUUUCAUUUAAAAAAAUUCUUAUUUUACAAUUAUUUACUAAUUCAACUUCAAUCCUUUUAAAUUAGCGAUGGGUAAAUAGAGAUUGAUAGCUAAAUUUGAAUGUGUUCCUUCACGACAAAUUUAUUUGCACAUUUUUUAGAGGCAAUCCCCAAUUUUUAGAGGAUGUUUAUUACACGAGUCUAUAAGUUCACGUUUCCAAGUUGGUAAACACAAACCAAGCGCCAACGGAAACGGGAGGAAAUCCUGUUCCAGGUUUUCGGGCAGCUGGUGUGAUUGACACAUGAUAUCACUGGGGGCGUGUCUUGGAGUGGAGGUGGAGGUGGCCGCGAGGAGCUGAAAUUCUGCGGAGCAGGAGUGGGAUCGCUCUGUAAGGCACACAGUGGUUUGCAGAGCGAUAGCAGCGGACCCAGCUCCCUGCCCCGGAUAAGGAACAGCUGCAGUCGCCGUACAUGUGCGUGAAAAGCAAUUUCCAAUCUUUGCAUUAGGCGUUUCGCCGUGGAACCGGAGGGGCGGAGGACUGGAAGUGAGCGCUGCCCAGGAGAGGCUGACCUGCCGGGACCGCGGCUCCCGGGACGCGGCGCCCACUGCCCAGCGUGCGGGAUCGGCGGAGCGCCUCGGCCUGCCCGGGGACCAGGACGACGUCCUCCCACCUCGCCCUGAGAAGGACCCCGAACUUCGCUCCUUUC